rnacentral:rRNA from 1 species
CAUUAAUUUGAGAGUUUGAUCCUGGCUCAGGACGAACGCUGGCGGCGUGCCUAAUACAUGCAAGUCGAACGAACUCUGGUAUUGAUUGGUGCUUGCAUCAUGAUUUACAUUUGAGUGAGUGGCGAACUGGUGAGUAACACGUGGGAAACCUGCCCAGAAGCGGGGGAUAACACCUGGAAACAGAUGCUAAUACCGCAUAACAACUUGGACCGCAUGGUCCGAGUUUGAAAGAUGGCUUCGGCUAUCACUUUUGGAUGGUCCCGCGGCGUAUUAGCUAGAUGGUGGGGUAACGGCUCACCAUGGCAAUGAUACGUAGCCGACCUGAGAGGGUAAUCGGCCACAUUGGGACUGAGACACGGCCCAAACUCCUACGGGAGGCAGCAGUAGGGAAUCUUCCACAAUGGACGAAAGUCUGAUGGAGCAACGCCGCGUGAGUGAAGAAGGGUUUCGGCUCGUAAAACUCUGUUGUUAAAGAAGAACAUAUCUGAGAGUAACUGUUCAGGUAUUGACGGUAUUUAACCAGAAAGCCACGGCUAACUACGUGCCAGCAGCCGCGGUAAUACGUAGGUGGCAAGCGUUGUCCGGAUUUAUUGGGCGUAAAGCGAGCGCAGGCGGUUUUUUAAGUCUGAUGUGAAAGCCUUCGGCUCAACCGAAGAAGUGCAUCGGAAACUGGGAAACUUGAGUGCAGAAGAGGACAGUGGAACUCCAUGUGUAGCGGUGAAAUGCGUAGAUAUAUGGAAGAACACCAGUGGCGAAGGCGGCUGUCUGGUCUGUAACUGACGCUGAGGCUCGAAAGUAUGGGUAGCAAACAGGAUUAGAUACCCUGGUAGUCCAUACCGUAAACGAUGAAUGCUAAGUGUUGGAGGGUUUCCGCCCUUCAGUGCUGCAGCUAACGCAUUAAGCAUUCCGCCUGGGGAGUACGGCCGCAAGGCUGAAACUCAAAGGAAUUGACGGGGGCCCGCACAAGCGGUGGAGCAUGUGGUUUAAUUCGAAGCUACGCGAAGAACCUUACCAGGUCUUGACAUACUAUGCAAAUCUAAGAGAUUAGACGUUCCCUUCGGGACAUGGAUACAGGUGGUGCAUGGUUGUCGUCAGCUCGUGUCGUGAGAUGUUGGGUUAAGUCCCGCAACGAGCGCAACCCUUAUUAUCAGUUGCCAGCAUUAAGUUGGGCACUCUGGUGAGACUGCCGGUGACAAACCGGAGGAAGGUGGGGAUGACGUCAAAUCAUCAUGCCCCUUAUGACCUGGGCUACACACGUGCUACAAUGGAUGGUACAACGAGUUGCGAACUCGCGAGAGUAAGCUAAUCUCUUAAAGCCAUUCUCAGUUCGGAUUGUAGGCUGCAACUCGCCUACAUGAAGUCGGAAUCGCUAGUAAUCGCGGAUCAGCAUGCCGCGGUGAAUACGUUCCCGGGCCUUGUACACACCGCCCGUCACACCAUGAGAGUUUGUAACACCCAAAGUCGGUGGGGUAACCUUUUAGGAACCAGCCGCCUAAGGUGGGACAGAUGAUUAGGGUGAAGUCGUAACAAGGUAGCCGUAGGAGAACCUGCGGCUGGAUCACCUCCUUU